UGAUAUAGAUCAACAAAGCCUAUAUUUAAAGUGGAUGGCUUAUUUCAGUAGGUGUAGCUGGAAGGCUGUGUGGACCAACCCUAUUGAUAUGGUCAAGAUCUAUGGGUCCAAGUUUGAGCAGUGAGACCGCUUUAAGAAUUGGCCAGUGGACGGCACACACCUCCUGGGCUUGCAGAAUCUUGUCAAGAUGCUUAGCAAUGAGGCCCAGCUGGCCCAGAAGAAGGCCUCAGAAUCAGCAGUCGAGAAGAACAAGGCCAGGGCAGAACAGCAGAUGGGAGGCACGGAUGAAUUCUUUAUCGGCCCAUAAUAUUUCAAAAGCUUUUGGCAGUCGAACAUUAACACUUUAACACUGUUGUGAAAUAAAUAAAUAUUUGCAAAAAAGCACAAGGAAGAUUAACAUCUUCCUUCUAACAUGUAAAAACACAUUUUUGGGGGGGUGGUGUUCUCUACUUUAUUUAACAGGAUUACAUUUUUUUAUAUACAAAUAGCACACCAUUUGCCAGAGUAAAAAUGGGGAUAAAGUAAUAAUAAACAAAUAUGGAAUACAAUUGUGAACAGA